UUUUUCUUUUUUGCAGUUUGCAACUCCAGUUGCUGUAUGACCUUCUGUUGCUUCUCUGUGAUUUCAGCUUUUGUGGAUAGAAAAGAAAAUAGAAUGUGUAGCCUGCCACAAACCUCCCCUCCUGGCUAAAAGAACUGUCGCUGCACUGUUUCUUGUUGAGAACAUUGACCAUUAGUCAUCAUCAAUAUGUAUUUGGAAAGUGCUACCUGUGAACAGUUUCACACUACUGAAAGGCCUGAAACUAAGAGGCAUUUGUCCUUGAAACCAGUCAUGAAUGGAAGGUGAUGUUGAGAAGUCGUUAUCCAUCACUCUGGAAGAGUUGGUGAUGGGCAGACUGCCUGGCUUCUGGCAUGGCAUUUGGGUACAGGGGAUGGAAAAACAGAAGCUUAUCCAGAAAUCCUGAAAUACAUGGUCUGAUUUUUCCAGAACUGGAACAAGAGAAGCACCUCACCAAAAGAGAGCAAAUGCUGUCAUUUGACCUUUUCAGCCUUUGGAUUCUCAGUGCAUCUGACUCGACCAGGCAGGUCUGGGGAAGAGAAAAAUUAACAGCAGAUGGAUUUAUGAAAAGAGCUCAGUGGCAGAUGGUGCCUACAGAUAUUUACUGACAUGGCCUCGGUCUUACAGGGGGCCUGUGUUGGAGGACAUGUUGCUGUGACAGUGGUGUCUGUAGAUGAUAUGUUGAAGGAGUGCAGAGUCAUGGUCUUACUACUGAAGUAGUAAAAUCCACUGAAGUCAUCCCAUUCCCUUCUCCUUCAGUAGUAGACACCUCCUCAUGUCAUGGAACAGAGCCACGAUACUUGGUAGUUGACUACUUGAUGUUUAUUAAAACUUCCUUCUCCCAAGACAGUGAUUUUUUUUUCCUAUGUAAUUUUAGAAGAAUGCUUGAAAAAGGUGACUUAGAUGAACCCUACAGGCUCAUUAAACAGUGGCAACUGAUAAAUCUUUUCUUUGAUAGUCUCUUGAAUUUUUAAGUCUUGGAGUUGGUAAUGCCCAUACUAUAGAUGUACGGAAAUGAAUAUUUCAGAAGUGGGCCAUACCUUUUAAGUGGGGUGAUUUGAAUAAAUGAUUUCACUUUUCUUCUGCCUUUUAAUUA
rnacentral:lncRNA from 1 species